UCGGACACUGAGCACACGGAUGGUGAUUGGUGUGGACUGAAGACAGGAGGGCUUCAUCCAACUGACGUGACCUAGAUAUUUUGGAAUAAUGUAGACAGCCAAAGGGGCUCAUCUCCAAGAGAGAACACAUAAUCAUCAUGAGCCACUACCUAAGUUGGAAGUACGUAAUAAAGAGGCCAGAUGAUUACAUGGAAAAUAAAAGGGAAGAGGAUUGAAAAUUUCAACAAGGCAAAAGUGAUGAAAAUGUCUUCAUGGAACCUUUGGAAUCUUCUGGAGGGGCUUAUCAGGAUGGAAGAGGGAAGGAGACUUAAGAGUAAUUGCUGCUUGUCCCAGAUCGAGAAACUGAGUCUCAAAGAAAGAUUUGAUGGAAGUCUGUCUGGCUCCAAAGCUUGGACUUCUAAUAAUCCACUCCGCAAUGUUUGAAUAUAAAAAAAUAUCCUGCUAAAUGAUGGAAGCCUUCCAUCUCUUCAUCCCCAAGCUUUCUGCAUGCCUGGUGACAGCUCAUUACUGGUCUCCAAGGACUUAUGGACUUCUCUGAGGAUAACCUUGCCAUUGCUGCUCCUGUGCACCAUGAGAACGACAACUAUCCUGGUCAAGGCGCCCUUUCCUGAUACCCCCAGCGCUGCCAGCCCUCCAGCCUCUCCACAACACAGACCAGUUUGUGUUCUGUGCAGAGAUGAGAAAAAUGACCCUCUUCCCCCCUGGUUCAAAUCUGGGCUUCCAGAAGGCCUACUCAUCUUUUCUGUGUCCUGAUGUCAUACAAAGUCCUAUGUGAAAAAACAGCCCCCAGUCUCCGCCUACACACUCACUUUUCCUAACUAUGAGAUUUGAAAAUCAAAGCUUGUGGUCGGCAGAGGCCUGUUGUCCUCCAGUUCCUCACUUCUCUAUCUUUCCUGCAGCACAAAAGAGCCCAUCUCAAAGGGCCCCUUCUCGGUGUUUCACGCAAUAGAGUCUCUGAGGCGAAGGCAUGUUGAGAUGCAACGGUUCCACUGGGGUAAUAUGAGCUUGGGCUUAUAUUAUACACAUACUCAAACACAGUGCUAGAUAUACAUAAUAUGUGUAUAUACAUACACACAUAUGUGUACGUAUGUGUGCUUGGCUAUGCGUGUACUAACUAUAAAUUCAGAGUUAUAGAUUUGAGACUUGGAUCGCCUUUUACCAAUUGUGUAAAUCUGGGCAAUCUCUUAGCCUGUCAGAAUAUCAGUUUCUUCAUCUGUAAAUGGGGAAUUUCAGUAGCUCCAUAGUAUUUACAAAUUUAAUGUUCAUGGAAUCAAGCCUGUGCAAGUGACCAUGACGGACCAUGACCUGUGGUGAUUUGUAAUCUUACCGAGGCAUGAAAUUGAGAAAAUUGAGGCUUGUGUACUAAGGAGCUGUUGUGCAGAAGAGAGCCAGUUAGCUGGGGGCGUGAGCCUUGUUAACUGCUCAGCAGGCAACUAGCCACAUGGUUCGUUGUUUUCUGCUUGACCCUGUGUACACAGUAAGUCUCUUGA